rnacentral:rRNA from 1 species
UACGUAGGGGGCAAGCGUUGUCCGGAAUCAUUGGGCGUAAAGCGAGCGUAGGCGGCCCGAUAAGUCUGCUGUAAAAGUCAACGGCUCAACCGUUGAAAGCCGGUGGAUACUGUCGGGCUAGAGUUCGGAAGAGGCAAGUGGAAUUCCUGGUGUAGCGGUGAAAUGCGCAGAUAUCAGGAGGAACACCGAUGGCGAAGGCAGGUCUCUGGGCAUUAACUGACGCUGAGGAGCGAAAGCAUGGGGAGCGAACAGG